rnacentral:lncRNA from 1 species
AGGCGAAGAUAUCGAUCUCUCCAGCUUGACAACAGACAUUGCAGCAAUAAGGGGCCGAUGGCACUGCCCAGAGGGGCCACCAUCUAACCAAUGUGAAAAAUUCAACACGCUCCCGCACGUGUGCACAACCCCAAACAACGCGAAUUACGGAUAUAGGUACGGUUAGAACAACAUGGCUAUAUGAAAAAAUUCAACCCGCCCCCGCAACGUGAAAACGUGGAGCACAGACAAUGGCUGUGCUGUCGACUGUCUGUGAAUGAGGCUGUGGCUGCGCGCGGGUGACUUUCUAACGUCAAGGGAAACUAGUUAAGCCUCGGACAUAUUUCGGCGACCAGCAGAGCCGCCGCCGCGGUCGGAGGCCUAACCAAGAGUAAAUGUAGCCUGAUACCAAAUAAAUUUAGAAAGGCUAAUUUUAUAAUCACACCACACAUCCCCUUCAAUAUAAAUAUAACCAGACUAAAUAAGGAAAAAUAAAUAAGUAGAAUAAUGAACAAUCAAUAUGGGCAACAUGAACCCUAUUAAAAUUCCCCUAAUUUUGGGGGAAUCUUCCUAUUUUAAUUAUGAAGUGAAUCAUUCUAAAGAUAUUCUAUUUCAUUCAACACUUCCCCCUCAAGCGGCGGGAAGAUAUCUACGAGCUACAGCUUGACACAGACGAUUGCAGCAAUAAGGGGCCGAUGGACUGGCACAUAGGUGCCCCAUCUAACCAAUGUUAAAAAAUUCAACAACGCUCCCGCACGUGUGGCCAUGCCAAACCCGCGAAUUACGGAUAUAAUAGGGUAACGUGGAACAAAUAUGGCUUAUAUGAAAAAUCAACACGCCCCCGACGUGUGGCACCGCCAAACAACGCGGAUUAACAACAUGGAACGUGAGACAAGACAUGGCUGUGCUGCGACUGUCUGGGACAUGAGGCUGUGGCUGUGUGCGGGUGCUUUCUUUUUCUACGCAAGGGGAAAUGCUUAGGUUCAGGCUCUGACAAUAUUUCGGCGACAGCAGACCGCUCCGGCGGCGAAAGCUGAAGAGGCUGACCAAGAGUAAAUGUGGCUCUGAUACAAGAAAAUUUAGAAUGACUUAAAUUUUAUUAUCACACACCACCAUCAAUAUAUAAUAUAAACCUAAACGAAAUAAGGAAAACUAAUAUAAAAUACUGAAAAAAUCAUAUGGUCCAGCAUGACCUAUUAAUAAAUUCCGAAAUUUGGGAUCUUUCCUAAUUUAAUUAGAGUGAAUCAUCCUAAUUUCUAAUUUCAUCAACAUUAUGUAUCCUUAUGUUUUGCUCCUUCCUCUUUUUGUGUUCUUGAACUGAUUAAUUUUCCGGUUAUUCUUUGUUGACGCUUCUAAGACCUAUAGAUUUGCCAUCACUUACCUCCAUCCCCCAACUCAAUUAACGUAAUUACAUGAAUGGGUUAUUCAAAAAGGGAAAGUCGCUACUUAGCCCCCUACAGUACAAUUGAAUAUUAUAUAUAUUAUUUUUGAUGAUUUUGUAUGUUGAUUGAAGACGGCCAGAAGCCUCACCAGCAGAGUAUGCAAGAGCCAAUAAGGAGCUGCGAAACCUCAGGGGUUCAAUGGAUCUUAUAAAUGAAUUGAGGGCUAAACAGAAGGUAUACUUACUGGGCCUUCAAGAUCAUCUUUUAUUCUCAACACUGUUCGGUUUGGACCUUAUUCAGAGGAUAUGAUGUGUUUUCCAGAGCUUCCAGUAUCAUGUUUGUCCUUCCUGCUUGAGAUUCAAAUAAAGGAAAACUUUAGCUAGGAUUGCCCUUCCAUCCCCAUUUAAGCAUCCAGACACCAAGAAUUCUACUUUAAAAAAUAAAUGAACAUAUAUUUUAUAAUUAAUGAAAUAGGAUGGUUCUCCUUGUUUGAAUAUUUAUUUCUAAAACGUGUCAAAAAUAUGUAAAUUGGUGGUUUUAUACUAUAAUAUCCACUUCAAUAUGAUUUCUAUUUUCUUCAUGGUUAUUUGAAUGCAUGCUUUCUUGAGAGAGAGAGAGAGAGAGAGAGAGAGAGCGUCGGGGUGAAUGGGUGGGUGGGGUCAAGGUCCUGUUAUAUAUCUUUUUUCCCAUGCCCCCUUUUAAACUCAUCUCUAGGUUUCGUCGUCCCAUUAUCUCUCUUACUUCCUCUUGGAUUUUGUUCUAGCACUCUUUUAUGUUGUUUAGCUCCUAAUAUGACAUACGAACAUGAAAUUAUCAGGACUACCAUGCCACCUCAUAAAUAAUCAGCUGAAGCUUGCCUGCUUAUUUUAUGUCUUUGCAUAAUAAUAUAAUAUUCUGGCUUCUGUUCUUAGGAGACUUGAAAGUUUGCAUUGUGCUUUCCUUUAUUUUUUUAUUUUUUUUUGUGUCUGGGGGGUUGCGGUGUAGCCAUAGGAGAAGAGAUUCAAACACCAUCGGUGGAUUAGGGCCCAGUUUUGCUCUCUUGGCAGAGAGUGAAGGCUCAGGGUGUGAAGGUUGUCCCGCCCCUCCCCCAUUUUUAGUACAAAGCCCUACUCGGGGAGAAAUGGCAUGGAGGUUUGCUGUUAUAGGGAGAGAAAUCGUAAUGAUGAACGAUGGGUCCACAGGGAUUGUUUGGAUUUCUCGGAGGUGUAAAGUAAACCACCCUGAGGGUCGUUUGAAGGCUUUGGCAAAUUCUUGAAUGGAUUCUUGAAGAUGGCUGCUUUUAUGGCGCGGUAGAGGGAAAAAGUGAAGUCUUGGAUACAGAAGUGGAAUGGAGACGGACCCUGUGUGAAGUGGCAUUUCAUUAUUAUCAUUCCACCAGAUAGGGACGACUUCAGUGGAGUUAUGUGUAGAGGGGAGGAAGGAGAGGGGUUUCUUUUGGGGAAUGGCCCCUUCUUGUGGAGAGGAAUAUGGACGAUUGUGAGAUAAAUCGUCUUUCUAGGCCUCUUGAUUGGCUCUACUCGUAUCGGGAGGGAGGAUUGUCUUUGUUGGGAGCAUAGUCUUUGCAGUGAAGUCCUUUUACAUGGUAUCAUUGGGCUCAAGAAAGACUAAUUUUCUGUGGAAAGGUAUUUGGUUGGUAGGGACUCUUCCAAAGUUGCCUUCUUUGUGUGGAAUGGGGCCCUCUGGACAAUCUUAUCAGAAGGCACCAUUCUAGUGUUAGUUGGUGUUGUCUUUGCAAGCAGGACGAGGAAACUGUUGAUCAUCUGCUCAUUCCUAGCAAGAUGGCUAAUGUGGUGCUUGGUUCCAGGCUUCCAGCUUGUUUUGGGAGGCAUUGAGACUUUCAAAAAGACAUGAUGGAAAUUUUGUUUGGUUAGUCGGGGGAUAGAGUCGAGAAGCAAAGGCAUAAAGCUUGGUUGUUGGUUCCAUUAUACUUGACGUAGUUAAUUUGGAUUUUGAAGAUAAUAGCAUAAAUAGAGGGACUUUCCAUGGAAGAGGAUCUAUCAUCGGAUUUUAAGAGUUCAUUUACAUCUAUUUGUAUUGUGGGAUCUGGGAUUGGUUGCCUAGCUUGGACAAUUGUGGAUUUUAAGAUUACUGUAUACGUGAGAGUUUUUUUGGCCUUUUGUGUGUAUAGGCCUUUUAAUGGUUAGCAUCCCUGAUACUUCUGAUAUAAUUCUUAAUCAGAAAAAGUUGGUUGUAGCUGAUAGUCAAAAACAUGUUUGAAUCUUAUGUUCUUCAGUCGCAUUGUGGCUAGAAAAUGAGUUAUCUUAAGUCUAUUGUAGGGACAUUGAGAGAGAGCAUUUUAUAUGUUGCAGAAAUGAGGCAGCUGGAUGUUGUAUACAUUUUUGCCUUCAAUUAUUUUCGCCAUCAUUUUGAUGUGAAGGACAAUGUUUUCCGUUGAACUUUUUUUUUAUUUAAGAUCUUUAUUUUUUCCCUAGGAGGAUUGAAGGUUUGCAGUCCCAUAGUGGCUGAAUGUCGAUAAGACAAAGAAUGCUGAACAUGCAACAGAAGAAUUAGUGUCAAGCAAUAGAAAAGCAUCGAUGGACGUGCAGAUCAGCCUAUUAAAGUCACUAUUGUCAGCAAGGAAUCCUUCGCAAGGAUGAUACUGAUUACCGGGACUUGUAAUUUUGGCGGUGAGGCAGGUAAAUUAUUAAUUAUAUAGUUGUGUAUCUGAGUGCACAUUUCAUUGAUGCCUACUUUUCAAUGCUAACGUUGCAUCAAGUUUUCUUCGGGCAGUGUGUGGAAAUUACAAUUCGUUAACUUUGUACCAGGAACCUGGAGGGAAGAGGCUCGUUGUUUGCAAUGGACAUAUUCAAAAAUUUAAAUGUUACUAUGGAUUUAUUUUAUUCUAAAACUCUCUUUCAAGUUCUCCUUUAAAUUUGGCCUCUUGUUAAUUUUAACAUCAGGUAUGAGAGAUACUCCUGAAGAAGAGUUUGGCAGUUAUAUGUGGGGUAUAAAAAAUAACACAUCUCCCUUAUCUUAAAGGAUACCAAUUGCAUCAAUGCCUUUACUGCCCAGUCAAAGUGCACUUUUUACAUACAUCCUCUUAAGGCAGAUAAGCUUAAUUGUGGGACAUUGAACUUCUUCAGCUCUUUUUGUUACACGGGAACUUCCUCAUGUGGAUGUUUUUUUGUGUCCUCUUAAGUGCUGUAUUUGCAAUUAAUUCCAUUUUUGGUUGUCCAUGAAGCUUGCAAUAACCUUCUUAAUGUCAGGAAGCUAUGCAGCAAUCUUAUGAGCGGACUUAUAGGGGAAACUCAAUUUGAGAGUGGAAUUCACAGAGUGCAUUGUUUUCCCCUAUUUCCUAUCUAAACUCUACAUUUGUCUUUAUUGUUAACCAGGAAUUAAAAACAUAUAUUUUUCUUCUGCAGAGGAGCAGUUCCAGUACAGAGAAAUCGGCGUGUCACACCAGUUCUGUGUCCUUGCUAUCCUUCCCAAGCUAUGGGUGCUGCCCCUUUUGAAUUCGUUUUUCUGAUUCCUUACUGUGAACAUUUAGUACGUUAGAUGGUUGUUCACUUCAACUUGUAACUGUUUAAAUUAACAAGUAUGCAGUUCUUGUACUUUUUUGGCCAUCAGUGCUGCUCUUGAAAUGUCAGAAAAGAUAUUACCAUUGCUCCAUAUAUUUGAUCUUUAAGAUUCAGAGUUUUA